rnacentral:rRNA from 1 species
UGCUAAUAAUUCUCUAGUGGCGCACGGGUGAGUAACACGUGAGUACCUGCCCCCAAGAGUGGGAUAGCCCCGGGAAACUGGGAUUAAUACCGCAUAAAGCAAUAAAGCAGCAAUGCGCCUGGGGAUGGGCUCGCGUCCUAUUAGUUAGUUGGUGAGGUAACGGCUCACCAAGGCGAUGACGGGUAGCCGGUCUGAGAGGAUGUCCGGCCACACUGGAACUGAGACACGGUCCAGACACCUACGGGUGGCAGCAGUCGAGAAUCAUUCACAAUGGGGGAAACCCUGAUGGUGCGACGCCGCGUGGGGGAUAAGGUCUUCGGAUUGUAAACCCCUGUCAUGUGGGACAUUAAAAGAUAGUACCACAAGAGGAAGAGACGGCUAACUCUGUGCCAGCAGCCGCGGUAAUACAGAGGUCUCAAGCGUUGUUCGGAAUCACUGGGCGUAAAGCGUGCGUAGGCGGUUUCGUAAGUCGUGUGUGAAAGGCGGGGGCUCAACCCCCGGACUGCACAUGAUACUGCGAGACUAGAGUAAUGGAGGGGGAACCGGAAUUCUCGGUGUAGCAGUGAAAUGCGUAGAUAUCGAGAGGAACACUCGUGGCGAAGGCGGGUUCCUGGACAUUAACUGACGCUGAG